GGUGAGCCCAUUGCGAUGUCAAGCCCAUCUUUGGUAGCCCGAUUUAGCCCAUGACUCGCGCACGCGUCGUCGUUAAGCCACCCCCUUAACCCUACCGCUGUGCCCGGAACGCCGCCGCCGCCUCCAAUCAGCAAGGCAGCAACCAUGGGAGAUUUGUUGCUUCUUGCCAGACACAGCCGUGUCCCCGUGUACCUCGUCUCUCCUCCCAGUCUUUGGGCGUGCCUGCUUCAUUCGUUCAUUUCCUUGUAGCCCCAAAUCUACGUGUGUGUUUUUCCUGCUGCCAAGUGAUGCUGGGAAUAUUGCGCAAGGGCUUUGAGCAAUUCGUGGCUUGUGUUUGCCGAAUGCGAUGAGAUCACAACAUAUUCUUCACAGAUGCUUCGGAUAAGUGAGAUGCGUCCGUCUUCGCAGCGUUGGUAGCGUUUGGGCACAAGCUAAAUCCAAGAAGCUCAUUAAGCUUUGGACUAUCCUAGUUUUUCGAGAAAUUCAUGAACUUCUGGGCACAAUAUGGCUGUCCAAAAAUAUGUUUCAUAAUUAUGGUUCCUGGUAAAUGGUAUUCAUAUUUAUGGUUCCAAAUUCUUUAAUAUAAAAAUAUGUUUCAUAAUUAAUCUAACAAUAUUUAUUUUGAUAUAAUAAAAAAUGUUGAUACUUUUUCUAUCUAUAGUUAAUAAAAUUUAUAGCUUACUAAAACAUGGGCUUGUGUUAGUUUUAUUUUUUUGAAAUAGCAUGACAUAAUUCUAUUUUUUUUUUGAAACAGACGAAGUACAUAUUUAAUUAAUUUUGAAAUGUGGGUGAUUGGCUUUAUAAGGGUACGUUUGGGAUCUAACUAAAAGUGACAAAUGAUAUCAUUUUAUUAUUCAAGUCACCUUUAACUUUGUCUGUUUGGAUAUUUAGCCUCUAUAAAAUGACUCACUUUUAUUUUAUCUCAUGUCAUCCAAACAUGCCCUAGUUAGACCAUCUCAGAGUAGAGGCAUUCACAAACCUAUUUUUAAAAUACCUCCCAUGUGUUGAAAUAGUAGGCUCCAACAGAUAAGCUAUUUUUGGUAGGCCCAACGCGUACAAUACAUCUCCGAAAACAUACGUCCCUAACUACGUAACUCCCAACCAACUGUUUUUCUACUUCCGUGCGCUCGAGGAAGGGGGUGGACGGCGUCCUAUGUGUGGAAGUCAAGACGCAGCCGCCGAGCGAGUGCAUCCGCUUGAAGCUCUUGGCGGCGUUCAGCUUCUUCAUGUUCAGGACCGAUGAAAUGGAAGAUGGUGUCGUGGCUGAUGUUUCUGUUGGUGGGCCGCGUCCGCCUCGUAUGCAUCAUCCGAACGCUCGUGUGGAUGGGCCGGAUUGAAGAAAGUGAUCCAUUGGCCGCCUACGUGCACGAGAAUAGCUAGGUCUGGUUUGCUAGCUUGUAAGCAAGCAAUACUUAUGCACUGUAUGAUGGAAGGGGCAGGGAUUAUCGAAAACAUGAAUAACUAUUUUCUCACUGAAUAAGAUACUCCAUCUUUCCUGUGACC